UGUGAACAUUCUAGCACCAGCGUUUGUGUGCACAUUGGUGUUCAUUUGGUGAGCAAAUGCGCGGAAUGACAUUGUGGGAGCCGGAAUCCAACCUCAGAAGAAACUGCCAAACUGGUUUCCAGACCCGAGGGUGAAGGACAUCCAGGACCAUUUGUUUCCUUGGCACUGGACACUUCGCCACAAACUUCCCGAUCUGGACAGCUACUGAGUCAUUCAUGAUGGUGAAAAAAAAAAAAAGAAGAAGAAGAAGAAGAAGAAGAAGAAGAAGAAGAAGAAGAAGA